rnacentral:rRNA from 1 species
GACGAACGCUGGCGGCGUGCUUAACACAUGCAAGUCGAGCGGUAAGGCCCUUUCGGGGGUACACGAGCGGCGAACGGGUGAGUAACACGUGGGUGACCUGCCCUUAGCUCUGGGAUAAGCCUGGGAAACUGGGUCUAAUACCGGAUAUGACUCCAUGACGCAUGUUGUGGGGUGGAAAGCCUUGUGCGGCUAGGGAUGGGCCCGCGGCCUAUCAGCUUGUUGGUGGGGUGAUGGCCUACCAAGGCGACGACGGGUAGCCGGCCUGAGAGGGCGACCGGCCACACUGGGACUGAGACACGGCCCAGACUCCUACGGGAGGCAGCAGUGGGGAAGUCUUGCGCAAUGGGCGAAAGCCUGACGCAGCGACGCCGCGUGAGGGAUGACGGCCUCGGUU